rnacentral:rRNA from 1 species
AGAACGAACGCUGGCGGCAUGCCUAAUACAUGCAAGUCGAACGAACACUUCGGUGUUAGUGGCGCACGGGUGCGUAACGCGUGGGAAUCUGCCCUUGGGUUCGGAAUAACAGUUGGAAACGACUGCUAAUACCGGAUGAUAUCGAAAGAUCAAAGAUUUAUCGCCCAGGGAUGAGCCCGCGUAGGAGUAGU